UUCUUUAUAAAGUGCGGCACCGGGUGAAUGCCUAGGCCUUGAAAGAUAGGACGUUUGACACGACGAAACGUUACAGUGAGGGGACACCCUGUGAUUUGUAGAUUUCCUAUCGGGAAACCGUUGUAUAUACAUACUCAGUGAAGUGAAACAUCUAAGUAACUGAAGGAAAAGACAUCAACCGAGACUCCGUUAGUAGCGGCGAGCGAACGCGGAUUAGGCUCUUUUUGUUGGAGAGAAAAACUACUCGAAAAGCAGGUGGAACCCUGCACCAUAGAAGGUGAAAGUCCUGUAUCGAGAUUUUCUCACAUUUUCAAAAAGGAUAGUGUACAUCGAAAGACAGCUUUUGAUGGAAGACGGGAGGACCACCUUCCUAGCCUAAGUACUUUCAAGGACCGAUAGUGCAAAGUACCGUGAGGGAAAGGUGAAAGAGAACCCGUGAUGAGGGUAGUGAAAUAGAUCCUGAAACCCGGUGCCUUCAAACGGUCGGAGCCUUUACAAAGGUAACGGCGUACCUUUUGCAUAAUGGGUCAGCGAGUACAUAUAUGGAGCCCGUUUAAGCCUUUAGGUGGAGACAUAGUCAAUGCGAGCCUUCAAUCGGCGUAGUAUGUUCCAUGUAUGUGACCCGAAACCAAGUGCGCGUUCCAUGGGCAGGUUGAAACGGCGGUAACACGCCAUGGAGGACCGAACCCACGCCUGUGGCAAAAGGCGGGGAUGACCUGUGGAAAGGGGUGAAAGGCCAAGCAAACUUGGAGAUAGCUGGUUCUCCGCGAAAUCUAUUGAGGUAGAGCGUGGUAUACAAGAUUGCACGGGUAGAGCACUCACUGGGUGCGGGGGGCCCAAAGCCUUACCAAUCCCAAGGAAACUCCGAAUAGUGCGAAUCUUCAAGCCGCAGACAGACUGUGGGCGCUAAGGUUCAUGGUCAAGAGGGAAACAGCCCAGACCGUCCGCUAAGGUCCCUAAACACGUGCUGAGUGGGAAAGGAUGUGUGACGGCUAUGACAGCCAGGAGGUGGGCUUGGAAGCAGCCAUCCUUUGAAGACAGCGUACUAGCUCACUGGCCGAGCCGUUGCGCGCCGAAGAUGUAUCGGGGCUGAAGCCGUGUACCGAUGCGGCGGAUAUAUGGUAGCGGAGCGUUCCGUCCUUAAGAAGCAAUUUCGUGAGAAACUGUGGAGGGUUCGGAAGUGAGAAUGCUGACAUGAGUAACGUAAAAAGAGGUGAAAAUCCUCUUCGCUGAAAGCCCAAGGGUUUCUGCGCACCGUUCAUCGGCGCAGAGUCAAACGGCCCCUAAGGUGUAUGCGAAAGCUACCACUGAUGGGCAUUGCGUGAUUGUGACGUUUAUGGAGAUGUGUGUAUAAAGCUGCUAUUGGAUACGCCUUAUGCAUGCCCUAUAAUCCUGGAAAAAGCAUCACGUGGAAAGCCGUACCCGAAACCGACACUGGUGGGCACGUGGAAUACACGAAAGCGUAUGAGAAAACCAUGGUGAAGGAACUCGGCAAAUUGACCCUGUAACUUCGGGAUAAGGGGUGCCGAAGCUAUGCUUCGGUGGCACAGAAUUGGGGGUGGCGACUGUUUAGUAAAAACACAGGACCUUGCAAAGUAGAAAUACGACGUAUAAGGUCUGACGCCUGCCCGGUGCUGGACGCUUAAGGAGACUUGUAUUGCAAAGACCCGAAGGCCCAGUAAACGGCGGCCGUAACUCUAACGGUCCUAAGGUAACGAAAUUCCUUGUCGCAUAAGUAGCGACCUGCAUGAAUGGCGUCACGACUGCCCCACUGUCUCCACCGUGGACUCAGUGAAAUUGAAUUCUCCGUGAAGAUGCGGAGUGCACGCGGCUAGACGGGAAGACCCCGUGGACCUUUACUUGAUCUUUUUAUUGGAGAGGGGUAUGCACUUGUGUAGGAUAGGUGGGAGCCGUUCGUAUACCGUCACGCCAGUGACUUGUAGAGGCGUCCUUGAAAUACCACCCUUUGAAUACCCUCAUCCUCACCGUUUUAGGGACAAUGAAUGGUUGCAAGUUUGACUGGGGCGGUCGCCUCCAAAAGGGUAACGGAGGUGCGCGAUGGUAAGCUCAGAUGGGUCGGAAAUCCAUCGAAGAGUGUAAUGGCAUAAGCUUGCCUGACUGCGAGGCCGACGGGCCGAGCAGAGACGAAAGUCGGCCAUAGUGAUCCGGAGGCUCUGUGUGGAAGGGCCUUCGCUCAACGGAUCAAAGGUACCCCGGGGAUAACAGGCUGAUGACUCCCAAGAGCUCCUAUCGACGGAGUCGUUUGGCACCUCGAUGUCGACUCAUCACAUCCUGGGGCUGAACAGGGUCCCAAGGGUUCGGCUGUUCGCCGAUGAAAGUGGUACGUGAGUUGGGUUUAGAACGUCGUGAGACAGUUCGGUUCCUAUCUGCCGUGUGCGGGAAGCCUUUAUGAGUAUUCAUAAAGGUUGGAGUGCGGAAGCCGGCCCCUAGUACGAGAGGACCGGGGCUGAGCACCCUCUGGUGUACCGGUUGUCGCUCCAGCGGCAAUGCCGGGUAGCUACGGUGAGACACGAGAACCGCUGAAAGCAUAUAGGCGGGAAACAACUUCCAAGACAACUCCAAAAAAUGUGGAAGAUUACCACAUCAUAGGCGGGAUGUGGACACUCUGUAAGGAGAGAAGCACACCCGUACUAAAGUACAAAGAAGACGUGCCUG
rnacentral:rRNA from 1 species